GUAAGGUAUUGGCUUACCAUGGUUUCAACGGGUAACGGGGAAUUAGGGUUCGAUUCCGGAGAGGGAGCCUGAGAAACGGCUACCACAUCCAAGGAAGGCAGCAGGCGCGCAAAUUACCCAAUCCCGACACGGGGAGGUAGUGACAAUAAAUACUGAUACAGGGCUCUUUUGGGUCUUGUAAUCGGAAUGAGUACAAUUUAAACCUCUUAACGAGGAACAAUUGGAGGGCAAGUCUGGUGCCAGCAGCCGCGGUAAUUCCAGCUCCAAUAGCGUAUAUUAAAGUUGUUGCAGUUAAAAAGCUCGUAGUUGAAUCUUGGGCCUGGCUGGCCGGUCCGCCUCACCGCGUGUACUGGUCUGGCCGGGCCUUUCCUUCUGGAGAACCUCAUGCCCUUCAGUGGGUGUGUUGGGGAACCAGGACUUUUACUUUGAAAAAAUUAGAGUGUUCAAAGCAGGCCUUUGCUCGAAUACGUUAGCAUGGAAUAAUAGAAUAGGACGUGCGGUCCUAUUUUGUUGGUUUCUAGGACCGCCGUAAUGAUUAAUAGGGAUAGUCGGGGGCAUCAGUAUUCAAUUGUCAGAGGUGAAAUUCUUGGAUUUAUUGAAGACUAACUACUGCGAAAGCAUUUGCCAAGGAUGUUUUCAUUAAUCAGUGAACGAAAGUUAGGGGAUCGAAGACGAUCAGAUACCGUCGUAGUCUUAACCGUAAACUAUGCCGACUAGGGAUCGGGCGAUGUUUCUAUCUUGACUCGCUCGGCACCUUACGAGAAAUCAAAG
rnacentral:rRNA from 1 species